ACCAAGAUGGCAGACUAGUGCAUUAGAUUUAAGCUCUAAAUAUAAAGAUCAUUCUUUUCUUGGUA
rnacentral:tRNA from 1 species